rnacentral:rRNA from 1 species
AUACGGAGGGUGCAAGCGUUAUUCGGAAUCACUGGGCGUAAAGGACGCGUAGGCGGGUUGGCAAGUCAGAUGUGAAAUCCUACAGCUUAACUGUAGAACUGCAUUUGAAACUGCUAACCUAGAGUAUGGGAGGGGGAGAUGGAAUUAGUGGUGUAGGGGUAAAAUCCGUAGAUAUCACUCGGAAUACCGAAAGCGAAGGCGAUCUCCUGGAACAUAACUGACGCUAAGGCGUGAAAGCGUGGGGAGCAAACAGGAUUAGAAACCCUUGUAGUCC